GAGGUCGUCUGCGUGUCUUCCUGAUGCGGCCAAGGCUGUGAGUCCCACCUUCAGUGUGUGUUGUCAUCGGAACAGAGAUAAGGAAAGCUGGGAUGGGGUGUCUGGUGUCCCCCAAAGACAUGUUCGCAUCCUAAGCCCUGGAACCUGUGGAUGGGACCUUAUUUGGAAAUAGUCUUUGGCAGUGUUGUCAAGGGUGACAUGGUAUCAGUGUCAACAGCGGGGACUGAGCACACUUGGGACGCCACCACCCGGACGCGCACAGGCAUGGGAUGGGGGAACCAGCCUCGCCACCGAUCCAGCUGGUGCUCAACUGCUGAGCGUGCCUCUCCACACCUGCGCCUCCGGCCCUCAGCUCCCAGCUGUCCCCCAGCGGCUCAGCCCCAGGCCUGAGCAACAGGCACCUGUACCAGCCGUGGUUGGACCCCAACCUCCUCCCUGCAAAACGUGAGACAGAAGAAUUCUGAAGGUAAAAGAACCUCUGCUUUUUCUGCAUUUCCCACCCUGGUUAUCACUCACUCGAGGAAAGCUGAGACUUGGCACGCUGGGUGCCCACACUGCCAGGAGAGGCUCCCAAGGGAACCGUCUGGGGAGCCCAGGCCCAGCUCUCCCCACCUGCAGAUCGGUGCUUGGCUGACGACGUGGCAGAGCUGACCUCCUCAGCCUUCCGCACUCGCAGUUACAGCAACAGAGCCGCGGUGCCAUGGGUCCCAGGGGCUUGGCUUCCCCGAGGUUGCUGUAGGUGGCUGCAGACCCAAGGCCAUGCCCCUGUGGCUCCCAGUUAGCCUUGAAUAAGAAGACCAGGAUCAGAAGGGCGCUUUGCGAUUUGGCGGGUGGUGACUGAGAACUUUUCCCAGUCACUUUAUGAGGGCCUCAGUGACAACUUCUUGGCAUUUGCCAGAGCAGAGUGGGCGUCCAGGUGGAGGCACCAAGGGGGUUGGGGUCCGCGCUGUGGCCGAGUCAGCUCCUUCUGGGUUUGGACGGUCCCUCUGUCUCCGCAUUCUUUCUCUUUGCCUUCUUCCCCACCUCCACCCAGGGACCUGGCUCUCCUGGGGCUGCUCGGGGGAUUCCGGAUCGUCCCAAGAGGUCAGGUGCGGCAGGGGAUGGGCUUCACGCUCUAGACAUUGAGGCGCUGACAAAG